rnacentral:rRNA from 1 species
UACGUAGGGGGCUAGCGUUGUCCGGAAUCAUUGGGCGUAAAGAGCGUGUAGGCGGCCCGGUAAGUCCGCUGUGAAAGUCGGGGGCUCAACCCUCGAAUGCCGGUGGAUACUGUCGGGCUAGAGUGCGGAAGAGGCGAGUGGAAUUCCGUGGUGUAGCGGUGAAAUGCGCAGAUAUCAGGAGGAACACCGAUUGCGAAGGCAGCUCGCUGGGACGUAACUGACGCUGAGACGCGAAAGCGUGGGGAGCAAACAGG